rnacentral:misc_RNA from 1 species
GUGAAUCAUCGAAUUUUUGAACGCAAAUUGCACUCUUUUCGGAGAGUAUGCCUGUUUGAGGGUCAGCCUAAAAAAAAUCGACAUAGUGGCUGUUUCGCGGUGCCAUUCGUGGGAAAUAGGGUAAUUUUAAACCUUUGGGUUUAAGCGGGCUUAAAAUUUUCUUUACGUUCCUACGAACGUCUCUAAGAUUU